rnacentral:rRNA from 1 species
AUUGAACGCUGGCGGCAGGCCUAACACAUGCAAGUCGAGCGGAUGAAGGGAGCUUGCUCCUGGAUUCAGCGGCGGACGGGUGAGUAAUGCCUAGGAAUCUGCCUGGUAGUGGGGGAUAACGUCCGGAAACGGGCGCUAAUACCGCAUACGUCCUGAGGGAGAAAGUGGGGGAUCUUCGGACCUCACGCUAUCAGAUGAGCCUAGGUCGGAUUAGCUAGUUGGUGGGGUAAAGGCCUACCAAGGCGACGAUCCGUAACUGGUCUGAGAGGAUGAUCAGUCACCCUGGAACUGAGACACGGUUCAGACUCCGACGGGAGGCAGCAGGGGGGAAUAUUGGACAAGGGGCGAAAGCCUGAUCCAGCCAUGCCGCGUGUGGGAAGAAGGUCUUCGGAUUGUAAAGCACUUUAAGUUGGGAGGAAGGGCAUUAAGUUAAUACCUUGCUGUUUGGACGUUACCAAAAAAAAAAGCACCGGCUAACUUCGUG